rnacentral:lncRNA from 1 species
CGCUCCGGCCAGGCCCAAGGCGAGCUCUCUCCAACUUCGGCCUCCAGCUGCUCUGGGCCCAGCUCGGACUGGUCCGCCGGGCCCAAGGGCUCUGGUGCCUUCUGGAAAGCGCUGGCUGGGACUUCACCCUCCUCCUGCAUGUGACGGACACAGCACUGAUCCUGGCAGCUCCUUACCCCCAGCAGCCCGAAACUCACUCCUUAAUUACACAAGGGAAACCUUUUACCUCCGCAGCCAGAGUCUGGGGGGAAAGGCAGGCGUGGGAAGAUGGGUUCUCUACCUGGCCAGUGCCAUGUUGCCUGUUUCUUUACUGUAACUGUGGUGACAAAGAAAAGGGAAGAUGGAGCCUCCAUGUUGAACAUACCUGGCCCCCAGCACUAACUCCCUCUCUGGAUAUCUGGAACAAGGAGGACCUUAAACUUAACAAUAAAGCCAAUGAUGGUUCUACCAGUCUCCCCAAAGCCUCAAGUUUAAAAGCCAUAUGAACUGGCUGAUAGUGGAAAAUGGAAGCCAUGAGGAAAUCAGAUUAGAGUACUACCUGGUGAAGCCUGGAGGACCUACCAAGAAAAGCAAACUUGGAUCUUUGCAAGGUUAGAAGAACGAAUGGGAUCCAAGAAAAAGACUGGUCAUAUUCAACGGCUAAGAGCGUUGGAGAAGGCCUGUGGAGUCUCAGCAGGUCAGGUCCAUGACUCAUGAGUAGACACCUGUGUUUCUACUGCCUGGUGCCAUAAUCAUAAACAAGGAAGAAACUGAGGACAGGAGGGGCCAAACAAGUUACAGUUUCAUCCCUCCAGAGAGCCAACAGAGUAUUUUGCACGAAGUUGAAGCUAAACAGAGUAAUCAGCAAAUGCCUUUCCUUUCUCCUGCUGAUGUUUUGCCCGUACUCAGACCCCUUGACUUCUUAGCUUCUACCCAAAGUGAGCUUGUCAUCAAAGUUCUCCAAAAAUCUGCAGUGUUCUCUUGAGCAAAUCUGCUUCCAAGACUAUAGCGCUCUGAUGCAUUGAGAUGACAGCAAGCGGCAUUUUUCAGUCCUGUUACCCAUAUGGCUGCUACCACUGCAUCCUGUUAAAUAAUGUCUUCAACCCAAGAAACCUGCUUCCUAGGGAAGUUUCUCUCUCUCUGCAUUUGUUCCCACUAGAGAAUGACCAUCACCAGAUUCCUGAACUGAAAAUGCUGUUGACACUUUGGAAACUCGGGCCUCUAUUAAUAGGGUGACCAACUAUCCUGGUUUACCUUGAGUACAGGAUUUUCAAUGCUAAAACCAGAAAAACCAGGAUGGUUGGUCAUCUGCCUCAGACCUAAUAAAUACCAGUCAAUAAUUCAGCCAUGAGCUUUCUUAAGACACUGUCUUUUCUUGACUGUUGAAUAGUCUAGGACUUGAGUAGCAGCUCUUUCUGCUACUGGACACUUGUUUUACUACCCUAUUUCUCUAGAUUUUAUUUUGUGGCUAAUAAUUAAGACAUAAAAUCAUGGGUUCUGGUUAUGCCAAAGCACUCACUCUUCAAAAGUUUCCAUCCAGAGUUGGAUAAUCCCACACAGAAGGUGUUCUUUCAACAGACCAGCAUCCAAUAGACCCAAUGCAGCAUUUUUCUUCCUGGUUCCACAUUAAUACAUCCUAUCUCUGCUAUGCUUAGGUCCCUGAUUUAUAAAUAUUUCAGACAUAUUUUCUCAGGACACAGGGAGUACUUAAACUUCCACAUAGCAGAGAUACGACAUACAAUAAGCUGUUAUCUGGAAACUCCUAGUGAUGCUUUGAGUACUUUACAGUAAUCUUUCUGGUCUUCCUCUCAACCCCAUUAAGUUUUUCUGUAACUAGCUGGUGUAUCUGUCUCCAUCUUUAAGGAAUAAGUCCCUAUUUGCUCAUGCUAUAAUCUCCCUCAUGCUCUCCGUCCCUCCUUCCCUCUCCUUCUCUCUUUCUGUCUCUCUCUCUCUCCACCCUGAUUGUGAGAUGCUACACCUUAAUAGUUUUCUAUACCUAGAUCCCUUUUGAAGGAGUAAUUUCAGCCAUCACUGAAAUCUAUGCUUUUUUAUCUUGUUAGAUUUAUUUAGGACCUAAUGACUGUUUCUGAGCUAAUAAUAACGCAAUCAGCUCAUAUUUUUCUGAUACUCUAAGAGCAAUUACAUCUAGUUGCAUCACCUUUUCCUUUUUUAUUCAUGUAUCUUAGGCUUCUCAAGAUAUGAGACUAGCACUUGAGCCUGAGAUAAGCCUUAAGAAUUCCAGGAUAGUCUCUCCAUAGUUCCCUUUCUUGGAUAAAGUCAUUUCAAAACAUCUUAGUGGAUCAGAUUUGGAGCAGCCUACUUACACUGGUGAAUACCACAACUAAUAAAUAAUUGUUCUGCACCCCACCCACAUCUAAAGGAUUCAGGGUGUCUUUUACAGAUAUAGGACUCUCCUUUCUCUGUUUCUCUUCUCUCUCUUCUCCUUGAUUAAAGCUUUGCUUCAGCUGUCCCUGCUCACUACGGCACUGCACCUCACCAGCAUCUUCAUGGCCCUCACAUGGCUCAUGUGCAUAUCCUAACUCUGAUACUAAGGGAGGAGACCACCCCUCAUAUUGUCUUAUGCCCAAUUUCUGCCUCCAAAGAAAGAAGAAGUAAAAACUAAAAGGCAGAAAUGAAAUCCACAAGCAGACAGCCCGGCGCCACACCCUGGGCCUGGUAGUUAAAGAUCGACCCCUGACCUAAUCGGUUAUUUGCAUAAGAAAAGCACUGUGAAGAUCCCUGUCCUGUUCUGUUCCAUUCUAAUUACCGGUGUAUGCAGCCCCCAGUCAUGUACCCCUGCUUGCUCAAUCGAUCACGACCCUCUCACGUGGACCCCCUUAGAGUUGUGGGCCCUUAAAAGGGACAGGAAUUGCUCACUCGGGGAGCUUGGUUGUUGGAGAUGUGAGUCUUGCUAAAGCUCCCAGCCGAAUAAAGCCCUUCCUUCUUAACUCGGUGUCUGAGAGGUUUAGUCUGCAGCUUGUCCUGCUCUAAUACCUGUGUAGUUCAAGAA